UGCGUAGGCGGAUUAAUAAGUCAGUGGUGAAAUCUUUCGGCUCAACCGAGAAACUGCCAUUGAUACUGUUAAUCUUGAGUUCGGUUGAGGUAGGCGGAAUGUGUAAUGUAGCGGUGAAAUGCUUAGAUAUUACACAGAACACCAAUUGCGUAGGCAGCUUACUAGGCCGACACUGACGCUGAGGCACGAAAGCGUGGGGAGCGAACAGGAUUAGAUACCCUGGUAGUCC
rnacentral:rRNA from 1 species